rnacentral:rRNA from 1 species
UAACCUGCCCAAGAGACUGGGAUAACACCUGGAAACAGAUGCUAAUACCGGAUAACAACACUAGACGCAUGUCUAGAGUUUAAAAGAUGGUUCUGCUAUCACUCUUGGAUGGACCUGCGGUGCAUUAGCUAGCUGGUAAGGUAACGGCUUACCAAGGCAAUGAUGCAUAGCCGAGUUGAGAGACUGAUCGGCCACAUUGGGACUGAGACACGGCCCAAACUCCUACGGGAGGCAGCAG